rnacentral:rRNA from 1 species
GACGAACGCUGGCGGCGUGCUUAACACAUGCAAGUCGUACGGUAAGGCCCUUUCGGGGGUACGCGAGUGGCGAACGGGUGAGUAACACGUGAGUAACCUGCCCACAACUUUGGGAUAACGCUAGGAAACUGGUGCUAAUACUGGAUAUGUGCUCCUGCUGCAUGGUGGGGGUUGGAAAGCUCCGGCGGUUGUGGAUGGACUCGCGGCCUAUCAGCUUGUUGGUGGGGUAGUGGCCUACCAAGGCGGCGACGGGUAGCCGGCCUGAGAGGGUGACCGGCCACAUUGGGACUGAGAUACGGCCCAGACUCCUACGGGAGGCAGCAGUGGGGAAUAUUGCACAAUGGGCGCAAGCCUGAUGCAGCAACGCCGCGGGCGGGAUGACGGCCUUCGGGUUGUAAACCGCUUUCAGCAGGGACGAAGCUUUUUGUGACGGUACCUGCAGAAGAAGCACCGGCUAACUACGUG